AACAGCUCAAAUUUGAAAUCUGGCCUCUUGGGGUCCGAGUUGUAAUUUGUAGAGGAUGUUUCGGGUACCGCCUCGGUUUAAAUUUCUUGGAACAGAAUGUCAAAGAGGGUGAGAAUCCCGUCUUGGACCGGCGGUAGGGCCUAUGUGAAACUCCUUCGACGAGUCGAGUUGUUUGGGAAUGCAGCUCAAAAUGGGUGGUAAAUUUCAUCUAAAGCUAAAUAUUGGCCAGAGACCGAUAGCGCACAAGUAGAGUGAUCGAAAGAUGAAAAGCACUUUGAAAAGAGAGUUAAACAGUAUGUGAAAUUGUUGAAAGGGAAGCGCUUGCAACCAGACUUGAGCGCGGCGGUUCCCCCUUGCUUCUGCUUGGGUUACUCCGCCGUGUCCAGGCCAACAUCGGUUCUGGGGGUCGGUCAAAGGCUCUGGGAAUGUAUCUACCCACGGGUAGACUUAUAGACCAGGGUGUCAUGCGACCUCCCGGGACCGAGGAACGCGCUUCGGCUCGGAUGUUGGCGUAAUGGUUGUCAGCGACCCGUCUUGAAACACGGACCAAGGAGUCUAACAUCUAUGCGAGUGUUUGGGUGUCAAACCCGGAACGCGGAAUGAAAGUGAACGGAGGUAGGAAGCUUCGGCUGCACUAUCGACCGAUCCUGAAGUUUACGGAUGGAUUUGAGUAAGAGCAUAGCUGUUGGGACCCGAAAGAUGGUGAACUAUGCCUGAAUAGGGUGAAGCCAGAGGAAACUCUGGUGGAGGCUCGCAGCGGUUCUGACGUGCAAAUCGAUCGUCAAAUUUGGGUAUAGGGGCGAAAGACUAAUCGAACCAUCUGGUAGCUGGUUCCUGCCGAAGUUUCCCUCAGGAUAGCAGUAACGUUUUCAGUUUUAUGAGGUAAAGCGAAUGAUUAGAGGCCUUGGGGUUGAAACAACCUUAACCUAUUCUCAAACUUUAAAUAUGUAAGAAGUCCUUGUUACUUAAUUGAACGUGGACAAUUGAAUGUACCGUUACUAGUGGGCCAUUUUUGGUAAGCAGAACUGGCGAUGCGGGAUGAACCGAACGUGAGGUUAAGGUGCCGGAAUGCACGCUCAUCAGACACCACAAAAGGUGUCAAUGCAUCUAGACAGCCGGACGGUGGCCAUGGAAGUCGGAAUCCGCUUAGGAGUGUGUAACAACUCACCGGCCGAAUGCAUUGGCCCUGAAAAUGGAUGGCGCUUAAGCGUGCUACCUAUACCUCGCCGUUA
rnacentral:rRNA from 1 species